GAUGAAGAACGUAGCGAAAUGCGAUAAGUAAUGUGAAUUGCAGAAUUCAGUGAAUCAUCGAAUCUUUGAACGCACCUUGCGCCCUUUGGCUAUUCCGAAGGGCAUGCCUGUUUGAGUAUCGUGAACACCUCACCUCUCAUGGUUUGCCAUGAUGAGCUUGGACUUUGGGGGUUUUGCUGGCCUUUGGUCGGCUCCUCUCAAACGGAUCAGCUUUCCAGUGUUUGGUGGCGUCACGGGUGUGAUAACUAUCUACGCCUGUGGUUUUCUGCCAGAUAACCUUCAGCGAUGGAGGUUCGCUGGGGCUCAUAAAUGUCUCUCUUCAGUGGAGACAGCUUUUUGGACGUUUGAUCUCAAAUCAGGUAGGACUACCCGCUGAACUUAAGCAUAUCAAUAAGCGGAGGA
rnacentral:misc_RNA from 1 species